CACGUAGGGCGCAAGCGUUGUCCGGAAUUAUUGGGCGUAAAGAGCUCGUAGGCGGUUCGUCGCGUCGGCUGUGAAAACCUGAGGCUCAACCUCAGGCCUGCAGUCGAUACGGGCGGACUUGAGUACUGCAGGGGAGACUGGAAUUCCUGGUGUAGCGGUGAAAUGCGCAGAUAUCAGGAGGAACACCGGUGGCGAAGGCGGGGUCUCUGGGCAGUAACUGACGCUGAGGAGCGAAAGCGUGGGGAGCGAACAGGA
rnacentral:rRNA from 1 species